UCGAGAAUUUUUCACAAUGGGGGAAACCCUGAUGGAGCGACGCCGCGUGGGGGAUGAAUGGCUUCGGCCCGUAAACCCCUGUCAUUCGCGAACAAUGCCUGUGUGUUAACACCAUACAGGUUGAUAGUAGCGGAAGAGGAAGGGACGGCUAACUCUGUGCCAGCAGCCGCGGUAAUACAGAGGUCCCAAGCGUUGUUCGGAUUCACUGGGCGUAAAGGGUGCGUAGGCGGUCGGGUAAGUUUGAUGUGAAAUCUCCGGGCUUAACCCGGAAACUGCAUUGAAUACUAUUCGGCUUGAGGUCUGGAGGGGGGACUGGAAUUCUCGGUGUAGCAGUGAAAUGCGUAGAUAUCGAGAGGAACACCAGUGGCGAAGGCGAGUCCCUGGACAGGUCCUGACGCUGAGGCACGAAAGCUAGGGGAGCAAACAGGAUUAGAUACCCCUGUAGUCC
rnacentral:rRNA from 1 species